rnacentral:rRNA from 1 species
CCCUUUGUAUUCGUAUGAAGGUGUCCUAGUGGCGAACGGGUGAGUAACACGUAGGUGACCUGCCCCGAAGCGGGGGACAACUCCGGGAAACUGGAGCUAAUACCCCAUGUUCUCCAUGGUGUUAGAGGACCAUGGAGCAAAGGAGCAAUCCACUUUGGGAGGGGCCUGCGGCCCAUCAGCUAGUUGGUAGGGUAAUGGCCUACCAAGGCUAUGACGGGUAGGGGACCUGAGAGGGUGGUCCCCCACACUGGAACUGAAACACGGACCAGACACCUACGGGUGGCAGCAGUAGGGAAUAUUGCACAAUGGGCGAAAGCCUGAUGCAGCAACGCCGCGUGCGCGAUGAAGGCCUUCGGGUUGUAAAGCGCUUUUCUGGGGGAAGAGGAAGGACGGUACCCCAGGAAUAAGUCUCGGCUAACUACGUGCCAGCAGCCGCGGUAAAACGUAGGAGGCGAGCGUUAUCCGGACUUACUGGGCGUAAAGCGCGUGUAGGCGGUUAGGUAAGUCGGACGUGAAAGCUCCCGGCUCAACUGGGAGAGGCCGUUCGAAACUACCUGACUUGAGGGCAGUAGAGGGAGGUGGAAUUCCGGGUGUAGCGGUGAAAUGCGUAGAUAUCCGGAGGAACACCAGUGGCGAAGGCGGCCUCCUGGGCUGACCCUGACGCUCAGACGCGAAAGCUAGGGUAGCAAACGGGAUUAGACACCCCGGUAGUCCUAGCUGUAAACGAUGCAGACUUGGUGUUGGCAGUUUAAACACUGUCAGUGCCGUAG